rnacentral:rRNA from 1 species
AGCGAACGCUGGCGGCAGGCCUAACACAUGCAAGUCGAGCGCCCCGCAAGGGGAGCGGCAGACGGGAGAGUAACACGUGGGAACGUACCCUUUGGUUCGGAACAACCCAGGGAAACUCGGGCUAAUACCGGAUAAGCCCUUACGGGGAAAGAUUCAUCGCCGAAGGAUCGGCCCGCGUCUGAUUAGCUAGUUGGUGGGGUAACGGCCCACCAAGGCGACGAUCAGUAGCUGGUCUGAGAGGAUGAUCAGCCUAACUGGGACUGAGACACGGCCCAGACUCCUACGGGAGGCAGCAGUGGGGAAUAUUGGACAAUGGGCGCAAGCCUGAUCCAGCCAUGCCGCGUGGGUGAUGAAGGCCCUAGGGUUGUAAAGCCCUUUCGGCGGGGAAGAUAAUGACGGUACCCGCAGAAGAAGCCCCGGCUAACUUCGUGCCAGCCGCCGCAGUAA